UACGUAGGGUGCAAGCGUUGUCCGGAAUUAUUGGGCGUAAAGAGCUCGUAGGCGGCUUGUCACGUCGAUUGUGGAAAGCCCCCGGCUCAACUGGGGAGGGUCACGCGAUACUGAUCGACUCGAAGGCAGGAGAGGGUAGUGGAAUUCCCGGUGUAGUGGUGAAAUGCGUAGAUAUCGGGAGGAACACCAGUGGCGAAGGCGACUACCUGGCCUGUUCUUGACGCUGAGGCGCGAAAGCUAGGGGAGCAAACGGG
rnacentral:rRNA from 1 species